UCAGAUGACGUCUAUGACUGUGUGGACAUGUAUAUUAUUCCCAAAAAUGACUUUCCAUUAAUGAAAAGAAAGGCAUCAGAUGCUCCGCUGGACUUUUCAGCAGUCAAGUCAUCUGAAUUGCUGAACAACUCUGCCCUCAAGAGUCGAAUUCGUCUUAGCAAAAAGAGACACCACCAACCACCUAAAAAGCACAAAAAAGUAAAAACAGAAACGUUAAGCGCCAUAUUCUACAAGAUUCCUCCGGUAAUCCUGAAUGAAUCUCCUGUCAGCGCAUCUCCACCACGUCACAGCAUUCCCUUUUCCACGUCUCCUCCUCUGCAUGUACCAUCACGUCCAUACCACUUCUGACCAUACCAGAUCUAUCGUCUGCAUUUGUCAGAUUAAAAGAUACCUCGACUGUAAAGACUGGAAAUUUACUGGUGUGCAAAAGAUGGGGGACAUUACAGUGGAUAAUCCAU